rnacentral:rRNA from 1 species
AUGGCGGACUACCUCGCCAACAUCAAGUCCCUCACGGAUGAGAUCGCCUGCGCUGGACCAGCCCUCUCCGAUGGCGAGAUCACGUCCCACAUCCUCGCCGGCCUCGACCUGGACUACAACCCCGUCGUCUCCCCCCUUGCUGCCCGUGUGGAACCAGUAACGGUCCAAGAGCUCUACAGCCAACUCCUCUCCUUCGACGCCCGCAUCAAUAUGCUUCACGGCCUGAACCCGAGACAGUCUUCAGCCUAUGCUGCAUCUCGCGGGCGCGCAAUAGGUGGCCGAGGGCGCGGUCACCAGGGUCGCGGCCGUGCCAACAGCAGCAGUGGCCGCGGGCGCGGCGUGCCCCAGUAUGCUCGUCCAAAUUCAGGUGCAGGGAGCGGUGGCUAUGGCCGGCACGCAGGCGGCGGCGGCUAUGGUCAUAAUACAAGUGGAGGCAGCGCUGGCUAUGGUCAGCAUGCAGGCAGCGGCGCUUCCUCCUCCAACACUCGUCGAUCUCGUUGCCAGCUUUGUAAGAAGCCCGGGCAUGAGGUAAUGGACUGCUGGCACAGGUUUGAUGAAAACUUCGUCCCUGAUGAACGUCAUGUAGCCGCGGCGAUCCGGGAACAGCAAGAAUAUGUAGGCGUGGUCUGGUAUGUUGAUUCUGAUGCAACAGAUCAUGUUACUAGCAAGCUUGAGAAACUUGUUGUUCGUGAGAAGUACUACGGUGGCGAUCAAAUUCACACCGCAAGCGGUGGAGGAUCGGGUAACGAGGGAGCUCAUCCAUCACGGUAG